CCUACGGGAGGCAGCAGUGGGGAAUUUUGGACAAUGGGCGCAAGCCUGAUCCAGCAAUGCCGCGUGAGUGAAGAAGGCCUUCGGGUUGUAAAGCUCUUUUGUCAGGGAAGAAACGGUUGUUCCUAAUACGGAUGGCUAAUGACGGUACCUGAAGAAUAAGCACCGGCUAACUACGUGCCAGCAGCCGCGGUAAUACGUAGGGUGCAAGCGUUAAUCGGAAUUACUGGGCGUAAAGCGUGCGCAGGCGGUUAUAUAAGUCAGAUGUGAAAUCCCCGGGCUCAACCUGGGAACUGCAUUUGAGACUGUAUGGCUAGAGUGUGUCAGAGGGGGGUAGAAUUCCACGUGUAGCAGUGAAAUGCGUAGAUAUGUGGAGGAAUACCGAUGGCGAAGGCAGCCCCCUGGGAUAACACUGACGCUCAUGCACGAAAGCGUGGGGAGCAAACAGGAUUAGAUACCCUGGUAGUCCACGCCCUAAACGAUGUCUACUAGUUGUCGGGACUUAAUUGUCUUGGUAACGCAGCUAACGCGUGAAGUAGACCGCCUGGGGAGUACGGUCGCAAGAUUAAAACUCAAAGGAUUGACCGGNUGAGACGUGCGACGGACGACGACGAGGGGAGGAGG
rnacentral:rRNA from 1 species